UACGAGGGGGGCAAGCGUUGUUCGGAUUUACUGGGCGUAAAGGGCGCGUAGGCGGUCAGCACAAGUCAGUUGUGAAAUCUCCGGGCUUAACUCGGAAAGGUCAACUGAUACUGUGCGACUAGAGUGCAGAAGGGGCAACUGGAAUUCUCGGUGUAGCGGUGAAAUGCGUAGAUAUCGAGAGGAACACCUGCGGCGAAGGCGGGUUGCUGGGCUGACACUGACGCUGAGGCGCGAAAGCCAGGGGAGCGAACGGG
rnacentral:rRNA from 1 species